AUUGAACGCUGGCGGAAUGCUUUACACAUGCAAGUCGAACGGCAGCACGGGUGCUUGCACCUGGUGGCGAGUGGCGAACGGGUGAGUAAUACAUCGGAACGUACCCAGUUAUGGGGGAUAACUAACCGAAAGGUUAGCUAAUACCGCAUACGCCCUGAGGGGGAAAGCGGGGGACCGUAAGGCCUCGCGUAAUUGGAGCGGUCGAUGUCUGAUUAGCUAGGUGGCGAGGUAAAGGCUCACCAAGGCGACGAUCAGUAGCAGGUCUGAGAGGAUGAUCUGCCACACUGGAACUGAGACACGGUCCAGACUCCUACGGGAGGCAGCAGGGGGGAAUUUUGGACAAUGGGCGAAAGCCUGAUCCAGCCAUUCCGCGUGAGUGAAGAAGGCCUUCGGGUUGUAAAGCUCUUUCGGCAGGGAAGAAACGGUCUAGGUUAAUACCUUGGGCUAAUGACGGUACCUGAAGAAGAAGCACCGGCUAACUACGUGCCAGCAGCCGCGGUAACAC
rnacentral:rRNA from 1 species